UUUCCGAAACCUCCCAUUCCAAU
rnacentral:miRNA from 1 species